AGCGUAACAAGGUUUCCGUAGGUGAACCUGCGGAAGGAUCAUUACCGAGUGUAGGGUUCCUAGCGAGCCCAACCUCCCACCCGUGUUUACUGUACCUUAGUUGCUUCGGCGGGCCCGCCAUUCAUGGCCGCCGGGGGCUCUCAGCCCCGGGCCCGCGCCCGCCGGAGACACCACGAACUCUGUCUGAUCUAGUGAAGUCUGAGUUGAUUGUAUCGCAAUCAGUUAAAACUUUCAACAAUGGAUCUCUUGGUUCCGGCAUCGAUGAAGAACGCAGCGAAAUGCGAUAACUAGUGUGAAUUGCAGAAUUCCGUGAAUCAUCGAGUCUUUGAACGCACAUUGCGCCCCCUGGUAUUCCGGGGGGCAUGCCUGUCCGAGCGUCAUUGCUGCCCAUCAAGCACGGCUUGUGUGUUGGGUCGUCGUCCCCUCUCCGGGGGGGACGGGCCCCAAAGGCAGCGGCGGCACCGCGUCCGAUCCUCGAGCGUAUGGGGCUUUGUCACCCGCUCUGUAGGCCCGGCCGGCGCUUGCCGAACGCAAAUCAAUCUUUUUCCAGGUGACCUCGAUCAGGAGUCGUAUGAUGCCCUUUG
rnacentral:rRNA from 1 species